AAUAGCUCAAGGAUUAUUGUUUUCCAUUUUUGUUUUUGUAACACUUUAAAUAAAAUUUUGUUUCUAAAGUAUAACUUUUUACGCCACACAUGCGAGAUGCGACAUGGCCCGCCAGUCUAGGUGCGCAAAAUUUUUGCACGCGGUCCGAGAAUUUUGCCCAACCCUGCUCUAGUUCAUAUUUUCAGCUUUGUUGAGAAAUAAAUUACUGAUUUCUGAAUAAUAUUUUGUUUCAAAUUUCAAUAGAAUUAUAUUGGGUAUUUCUGUACAAUGACUGCCAAAUGUGCAUGCAACUGUGCAAUGCCCAGCGACUCUAAAAGCAUGAAGUAUUGUACGACACAUCUUUUAUAAAUAUUUGGACAUAUUUUGUGUAAUAUUCAUUUUUUUCCGGUUAUUCUUAAUAAUUAUUACCGAUUAGAUAUUCUGUCCAGUGUCACUAUUACCAUUGUAAGUUUAAUGAUAUAUACCAUUUUUAUAAUAGGCCCUAUGACAAUGGACUGGAAAAUUCACCUGCUUCAAUUCCCUCUUUCACGCAAUCAUACACUGUGUCAUUUCAAGCAUCUCAAUGUUUCAAUGCGGACAAUGCCCAAAAUAGAGAUCAAGCCAUGCUCCAAUCCAGUCCAUGGAAAAAUAGUUGGGACAGGCGGUAGAAACUCUUAUGCUACGGCAACCGCAACUUUCCACUGAUUAUAGUGUGGACUCGGACAUACCGUAAUUGAUGAAAUUCAUUGUCUGAUUACAUUUUGAUCCAGAAUACAUUCAAGGAUGAAAAAAUGGCUCAUAAGAUAUUUGUCAAGUCUCAGAGGUUGCUCCAAGAAAGACUGGUUUAGAGAAUCAUGAGCUCGGUUAUAACAAAUUUACUCUCCCGCUCUUUCAACUGUGCAGGACGCGGUGGAUAAGAAGGAGUGAGUGGGACGCCCUUAGUUUCUGCUAUCAAAGCUCUGGAUGAUCUGGCAACGAACUCAGAUUAAUUUUAUUACCUGUAUACAUAUUUGUAAAAUAAAGACGUUUUGUUAUCUUUUGUUUUUUAUUAUAUAAAUAAUGUUAGAUUAGUGGGAAAUUUCUAUGUAGUAUAGAUCCAUACCCUGUCUGUACAACACAUCGCCUAACUUGGCCCGACCAUAUGCCACGAUUGUAUUACAACGUGUCGCCUACGUAGGCCCGGCCAUAUGUCACGAUUGUGGUACAACGUAUCGCCUACGUUGGCCCGACCGUUUGCCACGGUUGCAUUACAGCGAAUGGACCGACGUUGGCCCAGCGGCCAAAUCUUCGCUGGAACAUGGUUGUUCGCCAUUAUUGGGCCGGUGGUUCGAACAACGUUCGGCCAUGGUUGU